rnacentral:piRNA from 1 species
UCAGCCUUGGAAUCACUAAUGUGUGAGGA